rnacentral:lncRNA from 1 species
CAUUGGCCAGGCUGGUCUCGAACUUCUGACCUCAAGUGAUCCACCCGCCUUGGCCUCCCAAAGGCGUGAGCCACCACACACAGUCAAAUCAUUAGAAUUUUAAGUAAUUCAAAUUGGAAUGAUUAAUUCCAAUAAUUAGAAUUAAGUAAAUUUAAAGUAAACAAUGCUACCAUCUCAAAGAGCAAAUUAAUUGCAUUAUGUGGUAGCUGUCUAAUAGAGUAGCUGCUGGCUAUGUAUGGCUAUUGAGUAUUGGAAAGGGAGCUAGUCUGAAUUAAGAUGUGCUGUAAGUAUGAAAUGCACAUUGGAUUUUAAAGACUUCAUAUCAAAAAGUAAAAUAUCUCAAUAUUUGUAUGUAGAUUACAAGUUGAAAUUUUUGUGUAUAUUGAGUUAAAUCUCAAAAUUAAUUUCAUCUUUUUAUCUUUUUAAAUGUAGCUACUGGAAAAGUUGAAAAUUAACAUGCAGCUUGCUUAUUUCUGUUGGACAACACUACUGUAGACCAGCGGGUCUCAAACAGAGCAGAGAGUUUAUGAACACACAGAUUGCUGGGCCCUAAAAAUUUAGUUCCUAGUUAAGUACCUUUAUAUUUUGCUUAGAAAGAUUAUACUGUAUUUGUUAAUGUUUAUUUGAAUUGUGAAGUGUGAAGUAACUUUCUGAUUCAGUAGGUCUGUAUGAGGUCUGAGAGUUUGAAUUUCUGACAGGUUCCCAGGUGGUACUGGAUGCUGCUGAUCCAAUGACCACAUUUUAAGAACCACUGCUUUAGACCAGGCCCUAAGUAGGGCCAGAUAGGGGGAAAUAGUUUCAAAGCAGCAUGAUGCCACCGCUCGACUGAAGGCCAAGGAGCUGCCUUUGGGUAAUGGAUGGCACCUCCUCUUCAUAAAGUCCAUUUCUUCAGAUGCCUCCUGUGGUGGAUGAACCUUUGCAUAUGUCAUUAAGUGCUUAUGUUGUCAACUGCUCCAUCUCAGAAAAAAAGUUUUCUCUUGACAGUGGAGUGUGAGCACACAGAGCACUCAAGGUCUAACCAGGUUAAUAGGUAGGAACAGCUAUAAAUCAGAGUCCCCAGCACUGUCUGCACUAUUUUAACUGAGAUGAUAGGAAAAUAGGUAACAAGUUUAACCCCCCAUGGCAACUGCUGUACUGAUAUCUUCACAUACACUUUACACUUGUAUAAUAACAUAUUUCAACUUUCAAAAGUGGCCUCACAUCUAUCAUCUCAUUUUACUCUAACAAGGACCCCACCCACCUCCCGGAUCUUUUAAUAUCAUAACCAGAAAGAGCUGACUAAGUCAACAAGGGAAGGUACCAUGCUGGGUGCUUUAUACAUAUGACUUCCAGCGCUGACAACGAUCCAUUCUGGUAGAUAUUAUUGUCUCCUUGUAAUAGGGCCCAGCUGGGAUUGAACUGAAGUGUGUCUAGCUCUAAAACCCUUGUACUUUCAACUGGGUCAUCAUACACUUAUCCUAUGUUCUAAUUCAUUAUUAAAAGUCAAUCUUUCCUAUGGAUAAUGGUUACUUUGAGAGGUGGGGGUAGUGACCAGAAAGGGAUGUAAAGGGGGUUGCUGGUAAUGUUGUUUUUUCAUUUGGAUACUACUUAGAUGAGCGUGUACCCUUUGGGAAAGCCCACUGAGUUGUACACUUAGGAUUUGUGCACUUUAUGUAUGUUUGUAAGAAAUAUUUCAAUAGGAAACAUUUUAAAGCUAGUUUUUCUUUUGAAGGUGUAAGCUUUUUACUUACUUGUCUCCAAAAUCUAACUCUUUAUGUGCCUGUAUGUUGCAGUGGAAAAAGUGAGCUCAUGAUCAUUUUGCUUAUUUACAAUGGAUAAAUGAGAUCCAAAUACACAGAAUCAAGGGAAGGAGUUGCUUCUUCUAAGAGUGAUGCUUAAUCUUUUGGGUCAUGGAUGAAUUGAAGAUUUGAUUAAAGUUACAAUAAAAAGAGAAAUAAUCAAAGCACGUACAUUCUGUAUCACGAACGGUGCCAAACUCUUUAUAUAUAUUAGCUUCUUUCAGCUGUAUCAUAACACUGAGAGGUGGAUGCUAUUAUUUCCUUGUUACCCCUCUACCACACACACACACACUCUCUCUCUCACACACACACACACGCUCGCACACACAGAGUUUUCCCUGUUAUUUCAGGGAGCUCAUGAAUGUCCUAAGGUACAUUAUCCGGAGACACAGCUUAAGAGCCCCUAUCAGGUUGAAAAAAAAUGACAGAAGAAAAAAAUUUUUAAAGCAAUGGAUUAUGGAAAAGGACUCAGAUUGUUAAUUCAAUUAAGUUGUAGUUUGUCAUUUUACAUUCUUUUGUUUCUCCUAUAAAGCUUGAUGUCAUGUAAUUUUUCUUUUCUUUUUUUUUUUGAGACAGUCUUGCUCUGUCUCUCAGGCUGGAGUGCAAUGGCACAAUCUUGGCUCACUGCAGCCUUGACCUCCGAGCCCAAGCAAUCCUUCUGCCUCAGCCUCCCGAGUAGCUGGGACUAAAGUCAUGUGCCACCACACCUGGCUAGUUUUUAAAUUUUGUUUGUUUGUUUUGUUUUGUAGAGAUGAGGUCUCACUAUAUUGCUCAGGCUGGUCUUGAACUCCUGGGCUCAAGCAAUCCUCUCAUCUCAGCCUCCCAAAGUGUGGGAUUAUAGGUGUGAGCCACAGCACAUGGCCUCCUUUUACAUACAUUUUACUUUAUAAUAUUUAAUAUACUCAAACAUAUAUGAAGCAGUCAUACAUUAUAAAGCAUAAUAAAAUGCAUAAAGUCCUGUGAACCUAUAACCCAAUAUAAGAAUUAAAAUAUUGCCAAUACUCUUAAUACUAUCUUUGUAUUCUAUCCUUAUCCACUUCCCUCCCUUCCUUCUAGAAGCAUCUACUGCCCUGAAUUGGUGUUUAUCACAUCUUUGCUUUUUUAUCUUUGUAUUUCAAUGCAUAUAAAAGCACUUCUUUGCUUUUUAAAGAAUAGUGUUAACACAUAUAUAUGAAUACCUAAAUAUCAUUUUGUUUUGCUUGACACAUCAAUUGAGUUAUUGCUUGACACAUCAAUAAUUUAAAGUUGUGGGCCAGGCACGGUGCCUCACGCCUGUAAUCUCAGUACUGUGGAAGGCCGAGGCGGGUGGAUCACCUGUGGUCAGGAGUUCGAGACCAGCCUGGCCAACACGGUGAAACCCCAUCUCUACUAAAAACACAAAAAUUAGCCGAGCAUGGUGGUGUGUGCCUGUAGUCCCAGCUACUCGGGAGGCUGAGGCAGGGGAAUCGCUUGAACUCGGGAGGCGGAGCUUGUAGUGAGCCGAGAUCGUACCACUGCACUCUCAGCCUGGGUGACAGAGCGAGACUCCGUCUCAAAAAAGAAAAAUAAUAAUAAUAAUAAUAAUAAAGUUGUGUGUUGUAUCUUCUACCAUGAUUGUAAUUUUUAAAUAUAUUGUCAGUUUUACAAAAUCUGAUUGUCAUAUCUUUCUGGUGAAUUCAAGUUUUCAUCAUUGUGUAGUGACUCUCCUCAUAGCAUAGUAAUUUUUUGUCUCAAAGUUGAUGGACUCUCAUGUUCAUAUAGCUGACUCAACCCUUUGCAGAUGUUGUUUUGCCAUGUAUUGUUUUCUAUAACUUUCUUUGAAACUUUUUUCGUUCUUAUAUUUUAGGGGUAUCACUUAUGAAUAUCAUAUAGAUUUAUUUUUGUUUUAUUCUGUCAAUCUUGUCUUUUAAUGAGUGAGUUCAGUCUACUUUCAGGAAUUAUGAUUACAGAUGCUCCUCAAUUUACGAUGGAGUCAUGUCCGAAUAAACCCAUUACUAGUUGGAAAUAUAGAAAGUUAAAAAUGCAUUUAAUAUACUUAAUCUAUUGAACAUCAUAGUUUAACCUAGUCUAACUUAAAUAUGAUCGGAACACUUACAUAGCCCCUAGUUAGGAAAAGUCAUCUAACACAAAGUUUAUCUUAUAAUAAAGUGUUGAAUAUCUCACGUAAUUUAUUGAAAAUGCUACUGAAAAUGAAAAACAGAAUGGUUGUAUGGGUACUAGAAGUAUGAUUUCUACUGAAUGUCUAUCACUUUCACACUUUCACACUGUCAUAAAGUUGUCAUAAAUUUAACUAAUGUAAGUCGGGGACUGUCUGUAUUAUAUAUUUGGACUUUUCUAUAUCUCCUCUUCACUUUAUUCUAUUUGUCUAACUUUUCAAGGUUUAUUUCCCCUUCUAAUUAUUUUUGAGUUGAUAGGAAUUUUUAAAAACAUCUAUAAAUGGCAGAUUGUCAUUUCCAAAAGUGACUGCAGCAGUAACUCCUAACUCAUAUGUUUUAUACAAAGUGACCUUGCUGCUCCUUAUUAAGAGAAGAUGAUUUCUCUUGUUCGUGGAAUGUGGCCAGCCUUGUCAUCGCUUUUCCUGGUUAAAGAUGGCAAAAGUGACUGCCAGUGCUGGGCAUAGUUUUUAAACAGCUUGGCAGCUUCUGCUUCCUGCGUCUGAGAAUGCUGGUUCUUGGGAUGCACCCUCUUGGAACCCAGCUGCAGGAUCAUGAGCACCCCAAAACACAUGGAAAAACCACAUGUCGCCAAUCCUGUCAACAUCAGCUGAGCUCGGAGCUGGCUGCUACAAUCAACUGCCAGUCCUGCAAAGGAGCCUUCAUGGACAUUAGCCCAGCUGCCAUCUGACUACAACUGUGUGAGAUACCCCAAGGGAGAACUACUCAGCUGAGUCCAGUCAGCCUGCAGGACCUUGGGAAAUAGGAAUAAACUGUUUUCAGCCACUAAAUGUUCGGCUUGCUUUUAAUGAGCAAUCAAGAACUGGGAUGAAUGUGUGGCUUUAGGACCAAACAGUGGAUUGAAACUUCCAGGGUCUUGAAGAGAUGAAAAAUAAAAGCCAGAAAGGC